rnacentral:rRNA from 1 species
GACGAACGCUGGCGGCGUGCCUAAUACAUGCAAGUAGAACGCUGAAGAGAGGAGCUUGCUCUUCUUGGAUGAGUUGCGAACGGGUGAGUAGCGCGUAGGUAACCUGCCUUGUAGCGGGGGAUAACUAUUGGAAACGAUAGCUAAUACCGCAUAACAAUGGAUGACACAUGUCAUUUAUUUGAAAGGGGCAAUUGCUCCACUACAAGAUGGACCUGCGUUGUAUUAGCUAGUAGGUGAGGUAACGGCUCACCUAGGCGACGAUACAUAGCCGACCUGAGAGGGUGAUCGGCCACACUGGGACUGAGACACGGCCCAGACUCCUACGGGAGGCAGCAGUAGGGAAUCUUCGGCAAUGGGGGCAACCCUGACCGAGCAACGCCGCGUGAGUGAAGAAGGUUUUCGGAUCGUAAAGCUCUGUUGUAAGUCAAGAACGAGUGUGAGAGUGGAAAGUUCACACUGUGGCGGUAGCUUACCAGAAAGGGACGGCUAACUACGUG